rnacentral:misc_RNA from 1 species
AAGUCGUAACAAGGUUUCCGUAGGUGAACCUGCGGAAGGAUCAUCAACAAUUAGACCACCUAGUGGUCUGAAUAAGAUAUUCUUGACAAGAUUGACCGAAUGUGGUCUGAUCUUUGACUAGAUGGUCUGUAGACGGUAGUGGUCAUGUAUUUGGCAUUACGGUCUGUAGACGGUCGAUGGUCUGAUUUAUAUUAUACGCAAUUAUUAUUGAACAGGAUUACAGACCGGUUGUGGUGUAAUGCCGCCGGUAUACAAACCAAUUUAAAACUUUCGGCAAUGGAUCUCUCGGCUCUCC